rnacentral:rRNA from 1 species
GACGAACGCUGGCGGCGUGCUUAACACAUGCAAGUCGAACGGAAAGGCCCUGCUUGCCGGGUACUCGAGUGGCGAACGGGUGAGUAACACGUGGAUGAUCUGCCCUGCACUUCGGGAUAAGCCUGGGAAACUGGGUCUAAUACCGGAUAGGAGCCAUUUUUAGUGUGAUGGUUGGAAAGUUUUUUCGGUGUAGGAUGAGCUCGCGGCCUAUCAGCUUGUUGGUGGGGUAAUGGCCUACCAAGGCGGCGACGGGUAGCCGGCCUGAGAGGGUGGACGGCCACAUUGGGACUGAGAUACGGCCCAGACUCCUACGGGAGGCAGCAGUGGGGAAUAUUGCACAAUGGGCGCAAGCCUGAUGCAGCGACGCCGCGUGGGGGAUGACGGCCUUCGGGUUGUAAACUCCUUUCGCUAGGGACGAAGCUUUUUGUGACGGUACCUAGAUAAGAAGCACCGGCUAACUACGUG